rnacentral:misc_RNA from 1 species
CGGUCAUCCUGCACCUAAACAGGCGAGUCUCUACCUCUGCCUACUUGAAAUUGAAAUUUGAUCACGGUUGAUGAGGCAAUGUUGAUUUUAAGUAGCAGGCAAGCUUUAUAAAAUUCCCAUCACCCCAGAAAUAGAAAUAUUUUAUUUUUGUUUGACAUAUUGCAGGUGCCAGUUGAUUCAUUGGUAGGCAAAACGGUUGGACUUUUCUUCUCAGCCCAAUGGUGUCGACCAGGCGUCAAGUUCAGUCCCAAGCUUGUCUCCAUCUACCACAAGAUUAAGCAGAUGCUGACCCAACGAGAUACUGAGGACUUUGAGAUUGUUUUUGUGUCAAGUGAUCGUGAGCAACAAGGAUUUGGCUCCUACUUCAGUACCAUGCCAUGGCUGGCAUUGCCCUUUGGAGAUCCUACCAUCAAAACCCUAGCUAAGCAUUUUGAUGUUCAAGGUAUCCCUUGUUUGAUAAUUUUAGGCCCUGAUGGUAAAACCAUUACCAAGCAUGGGAGAAACCUAAUAAAUUUGUACCAAGAAAAUGCUUACCCUUUCACUGCGGCAAGAGUGGACUUACUAGAGAAACAGAUGGAUGAAGAGGCUAAAAGCCUGCCAAGAUCUGAGUACCAUGUAGGUCAUAAGCAUGAGCUCACUUUGGUAUCCCAAGAAACUGGAGGAGGACCUUUUAUAUGCUGUGAUUGUGAUGAGCAAGGGUCUGGUUGGGCUUACCAGUGCCUUGAAUGUGGCUAUGAGGUGCACCCCAAGUGUGUUAGAGCUGUGGAACGUGGCUUCAUGCAUCAGAGAUGAAUAAAUAGCUGGCUCUAUAAUUAUAAUUAAAGUUUGCUAAUUCAACCUGCAAGGUGUUAUUGUGUGUUCAUCAUGCCUUUAACUGGAUUUCUUGUAAGUCUAGCAUUAGCGAUUAAGUUUCAGGUUGAAUUUUAUUAUAUCUAAUUAAGAUAGGCCAUGACAAUUACCUGGACAUUCUCAUUCCAUGAGAUCUAUGGUAAGUUAAUCUUGUUCAAAGCUAGCGAAAAGGCCUAAUAUCUCCUUUGCUUCUGCCAGAAUUUAGCAAGUCGAUACUUCGGCUAGCUUGCUGGAAGAAAUGAUAAGUUGUAAGGUGAAACUGGUAACAGUUAUCUGUUUAUUUCGGCUAUAGAUUUCAAUGUCUAUUACUCUAAAUCAUCCCAAACUUGCAAUCCGCCAAGUUAUUUGUUGACUGUAUUCCGUGUCAGAUAUUGAACUCAAUUUUUAAUUUUUAAUUUUUUU